CUCUGGCUGGCUUUGGGAUUCUCUGUUCCUCUGAUAUUUGUCUCUGCAGCUUCCUCGUGUGCCCUGAAGGAAAGGGAACGAAGAUGUACAAAACUCUGGCACUGAGUUAUGUAGUCGCUAUCUACUUAGCAAGCAGUCACGUACCUCUCCUAUGUCUUACCUGUGCCAAGGUAGAUCCAGAUGGUAAAUGUGUAAAUAAACCAGGCAGUUGUAUCACCAAAAAGAAUGAGCUCUGCUACAACCGGAUGGUCAGCUGGAAUUAUGAAGUUCUGUUUGUGGACAGGGGCUGCACUUCCAAUUGUAGACGAGUACAAGAAAACUCACACUAUAGGAACUUUACCUUCUGCUGCCGCA